AACAGGAUUAGAUACCCUGGUAGUCCACGCCGUAAACGAUGUCGAUUUGGAGGUUGUGCCCUUGAGGCGUGGCUUCCGGAGCUAACGCGUUAAAUCGACCGCCUGGGGAGUACGGCCGCAAGGUUAAAACUCAAAUGAAUUGACGGGGGCCCGCACAAGCGGUGGAGCAUGUGGUUUAAUUCGAUGCAACGCGAAGAACCUUACCUACUCUUGACAUCCAGAGAACUUAGCAGAGAUGCUUUGGCGCCUUCGGGAACUCUGAGACAGGUGCUGCAUGGCUGUCGUCAGCUCGUGUUGUGAAAUGUUGGGUUAAGUCCCGCAACGAGCGCAACCCUUAUCCUUUGUUGCCAGCGGUUCGGCCGGGAACUCAAAGGAGACUGCCAGUGAUAAACUGGAGGAAGGUGGGGAUGACGUCAAGUCAUCAUGGCCCUUACGAGUAGGGCUACACACGUGCUACAAUGGCGUAUACAAAGAGAAGCGACCUCGCGAGAGCAAGCGGACCUCAUAAAGUACGUCGUAGUCCGGAUUGGAGUCUGCAACUCGACUCCAUGAAGUCGGAAUCGCUAGUAAUCGUAGAUCAGAAUGCUACGGUGAAUACGUUCCCGGGCCUUGUACACACCGCCCGUCACACCAUGGGAGUGGGUUGCAAAAGAAGUAGGUAGCUUAACCUUCGGGAGGGCGCUUACCACUUUGUGAUUCAUGACUGGGGUGAAGUCGUAACAAGGUAACCGUAGGGGAACCUGCGGCUGGAUCACCUCCUU
rnacentral:rRNA from 1 species